rnacentral:lncRNA from 1 species
UCUCCAGUUUGAUCUCUGCAAAAACUGGUUGGAUCAGUCCUGACCCUUAGGCUAUGUGAUUGGCAAAUCUGAUGAUACUCUGCAUGGAAUGUGAGAUUAGGCCCCAACAGGAGUCACUGUCCAAACCCCUAGGGCUCCGGACCAAGGUCAUGCCAUCUGCAGCAGAGAACCAAACACCACUUGUAAAGCAUUUCCUGGCAUGCCACUCAGCAGAGUGUCUGACCAUAGGACAUUAAGUGACCAUGUGGCCAUAACUGCCCAUUAUGAGUUUGGUGCUGUCAGACCCACUAGGUCAUAAGCCAUCCAUCAUAAGAUGGAAAUGGUAUAUCUGGAAUCAGGCUUGAGCAGGUCCAGAUGGCACAGAUAAGCUGCAGGGACAGGUGGCCCAGACCCACCUGCCAUCUACCACUGUUGCACGAAUAUUGGCCCCUGUGCCUCUCUUUCACCCACAUGCAAAUAUGGCCUCCUGGUGGGGGGUGUCUUUUGUCUAGCUGCUGGAGGAGGGAAAAACCCAUCUAUGCAUUGAUCAUGGAUAGGUUAGUUUGGAAUGUUGAUGCAAGCUGGAAAUGGACUUCUGCUGUACUUCAGCCCCACUCAAGGUGGCCCUGAAAGACACUGGGGAGAAGAAAUCCUCUUAGUAGAGUUUUGGAGGGUGCACCUGCUUAUUCACUUUGUGUGGAGAGAGAUGUGGCCUAAGGUAAAUAUAGACUCAUGGACAUUGGUGAAUAGCUUAGCUCGUUCUUCAGUAGCUUGGAAGGAGCAACAUUAGAAGAUUGUGGAAAAGUGGUGGCAUGGGGAAAAGUUGUAGAGCUAAACCUGUGUGAGUGGGCACAAAGUAUGAGACAUUAAUGACAGCCAGAAACCACUUCUUGUGGAAGAGGCAAUAAUAACCAAGUGGAUAGGAUGGGCAGGCAGCUGAAUGUCGGCCACCAUGCACUCAGAAAUAGAUAGUCAUGGAGUCAGAGAAGGAAGCCAUGCCUGUGCCCAGAAGCAUACAUUCCCUCUCAUCAAGGCUGACCUAGUUUUGCUGCUGUUGAAUGUAAGAACUGCCAGCAAUAGCGACUGGUGCUGAAUUCCUGGUAUAACACUGCUCCUGGAGGAGACCAACCAGCCACUACUGGGUGACAAGUUGGCUAAAUCGGGCCCCUUCCAACCUGGAAAGGGCGGCAUUUUCUCUUGACUUGGAUUGACAUGUAUUCCAGCCAUCAAUGGACUUGCCUUUCCUACCCUCAGUGCAGCAGCCUGUCCUGCUAACCAAGGAAUCACAGAUAGGGUGGUGGAGCAUCCUCUUGGAGGCACAGUGGAGCUGUCAUCUUGAAGAUGACACCCAUGAGGAGGGCCCAGUCUCCUCCAGAAUGCAAUAUGCACUCUAAUGGCUAUGGGAUGAGGCCAUGUUCCUGAAAGGCUGGCAGCAGACAAACGAUGCAGGCAGGCAGUGAGACUCAGAUUGGGUCCUCCUGUCGGAACAGCUGGGAUAUGAUGUCCAUGCCCUCUCCCAGGACCCAGGUGGAACUUGAAUACUGAUUCAUCAUACUCACUUUUCAUUUGGAGAGUGAAUUUUGGACUGAAAUAAAGGGAGAUGUUCAGCCUCAGGUGUAGAAGCAGUGAGACAAUUUCCCACCACGGAGGAAGAUGAAGAGCAGGAGAGGAGAGGCUGGCGGCUCCCAGGAGCAGAUCACCUGCCCCCACUGCAAGGCCCCCGUGUGCUCAAU